rnacentral:rRNA from 1 species
UCCGGGGCUUAGUGCCGGAGCUAACGCAAUAAGCACUCCGCCUGGGGAGUACGACCGCAAGGUUGAAACUCAAAGGAAUUGACGGGGGCCCGCACAAGCGGUGGAGCAUGUGGUUUAAUUCGAAGCAACGCGAAGAACCUUACCAGGUCUCGACAUCCCGAUGCUAUUCUUAGAGAUAGGAAGUUACUUCGGUACAUCGGAGACAGGUGGUGCAUGGUUGUCGUCAGCUCGUGUCGUGAGAUGUUGGGUUAAGUCCCGCAACGAGCGCAACCCUUAUUGUUAGUUGCCAUCAUUAAGUUGGGCACUCUAGCGAGACUGCCGGUAAUAAACCGGAGGAAGGUGGGGAUGACGUCAAAUCAUCAUGCCCCUUAUGACCUGGGCUACACACGUGCUACAAUGUCGGUACAACGAGUUGCGAGCCGGUGACGGCAAGCUAAUCUCUGAAAGCCGAUCUCAGUUCGGAUUGGAGGCUGCAACUCGCCUCCAUGAAGUCGGAAUCGCUAGUAAUCGCGGAUCAGCACGCCGCGGUGAAUACGUUCCCGGGCCUUGUACACACCGCCCGUCACACCACGAGAGUUUGUAACACCCGAAGUCGGUGAGGUANCCUUUUAGGG